GUGCACUUCAGCAGAACAUACACUGAAAUCAGAAUGAUACCGAAAAGAUUAGCAUGGCCCCUCCACAAAGGUGACACACAGACACAUCCUUACACUUCAGAAUCUU